GGUGCUCACGGAGCCAAGCCGAUGUUGGCCCUGUGCGCUUGGACUUUCCUGUCUCCAGAACAAUGAGGAUGAGGCGUCCCUCCAUCUGUGACAGCCAUCCCUAUGCCGGUUGACAUACCAUCUUAGCAUCCAUGGCCCUUGCGUUGGGAUUCCACAUGGCGAACUCAGAUGACUGAAGUGGGUCAGGUCCUUCUGGCACGUAGGUGGUAGCUUUGAAGGAUCAGGAGCUUCGAUGGCCCCGAGUAACAGGCGGUCCUUGCUGAGGCCAAUCCAGCUGCACCCUGGACAGUUCAGGAGCAGAGCACUCAGUGGCCUGCUGAAUGUCCACUUAGUUCAGAGGUACCGCUCCAGACGCGCUAGCCUGAAACAGGAGUCACGCGGACGUCAUCUCUGCUGAAUGUUCCCAUGGCAGUGACACCGAUUUUCACGACAUUCCGAGAGAACCCUGAAGUCGAGUCCUGCAGAUGGCUUGGGAUGUUUCUUGACAGCGAAAUACUACUCCAUGUGACAGAGGUCCAUCUGUGCAGGCAGAUAACGCGGGGGCAAGGGCGUUGGUGGUGACUGUGGGGAGGGGCCAGGCAGAUGAGGGCAGGCAUCCACCUCC